CGCUGGCGGCGUGCCUAACACAUGCAAGUCGAACGGGGGUAGCAAUACCCCAGUGGCGAACGGGUGCGUAACACGUGAGGAACAUUCCUUCCGGUGGGGGAUAGCCGGCCUAACGGCCGGGUAAUACCGCAUACGCUGUUCGGGGUGCAUACCCUGGAUCGGAAAGCAGCAAUGCGCCGGAAAGGUGCCUCGCGGCCUAUCAGCUAGUUGGUGAGGUAAUGGCUCACCAAGGCGACGACGGGUAGCUGGUCUGAGAGGAUGGCCAGCCACAUUGGGACUGAGACACGGCCCAGACUCCUACGGGAGGCAGCAGUGGGGAAUCUUGCGCAAUGGGCGAAAGCCUGACGCAGCGACGCCGCGUGUGGGAUGACGGCCUUCGGGUUGUAAACCACUGUCGCGAGGGACGAAGAUCUGACGGUACCUCGAAAGGAAGCACCGGCUAACUCUGUGCCAGCAGCCGCGGUAAUACAGAGGGUGCAAGCGUUGUCCGGAAUCACUGGGCGUAAAGGGCGCGUAGGCGGCCUGAUAAGUAGGGGGUGAAAUCCUGGGGCUUAACCUCAGGGCUGCCUUCUAGACUGUCCGGCUCGAGCACAGUAGAGGCAGGUGGAAUUCCCGG
rnacentral:rRNA from 1 species